UACGGAGGGUGCAAGCGUUAUCCGGAUUCACUGGGUUUAAAGGGUGCGUAGGUGGACUGGUAAGUCCGUGGUGAAAUCCCCAAGCUUAACUUGGGAACUGCCGUGGAUACUAUCAGUCUUGAAUACUGUGGAGGUAAGCGGAAUAUGUCAUGUAGCGGUGAAAUGCUUAGAUAUGACAUAGAACACCAAUUGCGAAGGCAGCUCGCUACACGAAUAUUGACUCUGAGGCACGAAAGCGUGGGGAUCAAACAGG
rnacentral:rRNA from 1 species